GCCGCUGAGAACUCCUAAUUGCAGAUAAUCACGCAGACUGGGCAGGAAGGAGUAGAAAGACACUUGCCGGGAGAGGCGGUUUCCCCAGCACAAAAUUUCUUGGCGGAGCCUCCUGACGCUGCGUGCAAGACAGGACGGUUAUGGAUUCCUAGAUGAGACCACGGCGCCGGCUGUGCUGGUGAGCUCGGGGUGGGCAUUCACCGUUCGUCCCUGCCUGCCCCAGAGGGUGUCUCCACGAAAACGCUCCGUUCGGUGUCACAUCCGGCCACUCUCCUGUAGGAUGCAGUGGGCCGGGGAAGGGCGUGUCUGUGGCGGUCACGCCCCUCCUCCUGGUCAAGUUCAAGUAUUUGUGUUGAAGUUUUCCUGGGCGUGCGCCCUCGCCUCAGGAAGACGCCCUACUCACUGCGAAUGCAGCGGGCAUCCCGGGUCAGGUCUGCAGAGCGGUGUGGCUCACGGAUAUCCAAGGUGCCUAGAAAGGAGGAAGUCGUGUCGCCUGGAACUGAUCCCUGAACCCUGCUCAGUUUCAAAUGGGCAUGGAAGUGGCAAAGUCCUUAUCCCAGAUCAGCUCCCACCCCUAGAGCACACAUCACGAAAGGUACCAGCCUGUGUCAUGAAACUAAGGCACAGUAACGCAGGUCUGACUCAUGUAUCAGGAGUGUGCCCCGUGAGUGCCCUCAGGCCCUCCCACCAUAGGGGUCUUUGAGUGAAGGAACCCAGUGGCGACUUCUCUUUGGGCUGCAUUGGUAUGGUUUCGCUCAUUGUCUCUGUGAAUCUCGAUAGGGUCACACAACGGAUGCACCUUGUGUAGCUACAUCUUCACGUUGCCAUCACAUGUGCUCACUGGCAAUCAAUCUCCACGUCCAGAAGUGUCUCCCACUGAUGUCACGUGCCCUCAUAUAGGCGUUCACCCACACACAUCCACAUCCCACCGGAUGGCACAUCCCAGGUUCCUUUUUCAACAGCAAGCCCAGCCCUGUCCUGCCUGUGACCGUGAAAGAAACCCGGGACCUCAGUGGGAGGGAGUGUGGCCUUCACAGCCUGUGACUUGGGGUCUGGUCUUCCUUUCCAGCCGUGAUCACCUUUGGAGAUCAGGUUCCAGCUCCCUAAAUCCCCAUGCCCUUCCUAAAACCAUAGGUGACUACAGGUGGCCCUUGGUCUUUGGGCAAAGCUUACAAUAGCCUGUUUGGUUUGCUCACUAGCUGCACCAGAGCAGUGAGACUCUUCUAUGUGUAAGUGUGCAAGGAAUGCAUGUGACCAUGAGCCAGUGUGCCAAGUUACAAACUCCUUGCCUGGGGCUGCCGUAACUAAUUACCCAAAACUGAUUGGCUUAAAAACAGCAGACAUUCUCUCAUGAUUCUGGUGGCCAGAAGUUCAAAGUCAAGAAUUGACAAGCCCUAGCUUCCGUGAGAGAAUCAGGCAGAACUGGCCUCCUUCAAGGAACUCAGAAGGUACGUCAGGCUCCGUAUCUUCAGGCUUCUGUGGUGUCUGGCAAGGUUACAUCUCUCCAGCCCAGUGCUUCUCAACGUACCUAAGGCUCCUGCCCUUUAAUAUAGUUCCUCGUGACUGACACCCAGCCAUAAAGUGAUUUUUAUUACUGUUCCAUAA
rnacentral:sRNA from 1 species